UAGGAAAACGGGAAUACCAUCAGAGGUCACUAAAACGCAGUCUAUCAAACCUUGGGAGCAUUACGCACCAUC